rnacentral:misc_RNA from 1 species
CAGAGAUUGCCCUCACGGGUAGACCUCCAACCCUUUGCCAAUUGUCCAUGUUGCUUUGACGGGCCCGUCUUCGGACCGCCGGCGUGCUGGCUCGCGCCCGUCAGAGGAUCAUCAACUCUGUUUAACUGUCUGAGAAAUCAUACAAUAACUA